rnacentral:rRNA from 1 species
GGCGAAAGCCUGACGGAGCAAUGCCGCGUGAGUGAUGAAGGUUUUCGGAUCGUAAAGCUCUGUUGCCAGGGAAGAACGUCCUUGAGAGUAACUGCUCAAGGAGUGACGGUACCUGAGAAGAAAGCCCCGGCUAACUACGUGCCAGCAGCCGCGGUAAUACGUAGGGGGCAAGCGUUGUCCGGAAUUAUUGGGCGUAAAGCGCGCGCAGGCGGUCAUUUAAGUCUGGUGUUUAAUCCCGGGGCUCAACCCCGGAUCGCACUGGAAACUGGAUGACUUGAGUGCAGAAGAGGAGAGUGGAAUUCCACGUGUAGCGGUGAAAUGCGUAGAGAUGUGGAGGAACACCAGUGGCGAAGGCGACUCUCUGGGCUGUAACUGACGCUGAGGCGCGAAAGCGUGGGGAGCAAACAGGAUUAGAUACCCCGGUAGUCCACGCCGUAAACGAUGAAUGCUAGGUGUUAGGGGUUUCGAUACCCUUGGUGCCGAAGUUAACACAUUAAGCAUUCCGCCUGGGGAGUACGGUCGCAAGACUGAAACUCAAAGGAAUUGACGGGGACCCGCACAAGCAGUGGAGUAUGUGGUUUAAUUCGAAGCAACGCGAAGAACCUUACCAGGUCUUGACAUCCCUCUGACCGUCCUAGAGAUAGGGCUUUCCUUCGGGACAGAGGAGACAGGUGGUGCAUGGUUGUCGUCAGCUCGUGUCGUGAGAUGUUGGGUUAAGUCCCGCAACGAGCGCAACCCUUGAUCUUAGUUGCCAGCACUUCGGGUGGGCACUCUAAGGUGACUGCCGGUGACAAACCGGAGGAAGGUGGGGAUGACGUCAAAUCAUCAUGCCCCUUAUGACUCGGGUCACA